UACGUAGGGUGCAAGCGUUGUCCGGAAUUAUUGGGCGUAAAGAGCUCGUAGGUGGCCUGUCGCGUCGGCUGUGAAAACUCGGGGCUCAACUCCGAGCUUGCAGUCGAUACGGGCAGGCUAGAGUUCGGUAGGGGAGACUGGAAUUCCUGGUGUAGCGGUGAAAUGCGCAGAUAUCAGGAGGAACACCGGUGGCGAAAGCGACUCUCUGGACGGCAACUGACGCUGAGGCACGAAAGCGUGGGGAGCAAACAGG
rnacentral:rRNA from 1 species